rnacentral:rRNA from 1 species
GCGCACGGGUGCGUAACGCGUAACCAACUACCCACAACUGGGGGAUAGCCCCGCCCGAAGGCGGAUUAAUACCGCGAUAAGACUGCAGAGGGGCAUCUCUUAGUAGUUAAAGAUUAUUGGUUGUGGAUGGGUUGCGUAGCAUUAGCUAGAUGGCGGGUAACGGCCACCAUGGCGACGAUGCUUAGGGGACCUGAGAGGGUGAUCCCCCACACUGGCACUGAGAUACGGGCCAGACUCCUACGGGAGGCAGCAGUAGGGAAUAUUGGGCAAUGGGCGAGAGCCUGACCCAGCCAUGCCGCGUGCCCGGAUGAAGGCCUUCUGGGUUGUAAACGGCUUUUUCUCAGGGGAAGAAAAAGACCUUGCGAGGUACACUGACGGUACCUGAGGAAUAAGCACCGGCUAACUCCGUGCCAGCAGCCGCGG